rnacentral:rRNA from 1 species
GGCCUACCAUGGUGGUAACGGGUAACGGGGUGUUAGGGCACGACACCGGAGAGGGAGCCUGAGAAACGGCUACCACAUCCAAGGAUGGCAGCAGGCGCGCAAAUUACCCAAUCCCGAUACGGGGAGGUAGUGACAAUAAAUAACAAUACGGGGUUCUUUAGGAUCUCGUAAUUGGAAUGAGUACAAUUUAAAUCUCUUAACGAGGAACAAUUGGAGGGCAAGUCUGGUGCCAGCAGCCGCGGUAAUUCCAGCUCCAAUAGCGUAUAUUAAAGUUGUUGCAGUCAAAAAGCUCGUAGUUGAAUUUCGGGGUUAGUAGGUUGGUCAUGCCUCUGGUAUGUACUGGUCUCACUGAUUCCUCCUUCCUGAUGAACCUUAAUGCCAUUAAUUUGGUGUUUUGGGAAAUUUGGACUGUUACUUUGAAAAAAUUAGAGUGUUUAAAGCAAGCUAACGCUUGAAUACAUUAGCAUGGAAUAAUGAAAUAGGACGUUCGAUCCUAUUUUGUUGGUUUCUAGGAUUGACGUAAUGAUUAAUAGGGAUAGUUGGGGGCAUUAGUAUUCAAUUGUCAGAGGUGAAAUUCUUGGAUUUAUUGAAGACUAACUACUGCGAAAGCAUUUGCCAAGGAUGUUUUCAUUAAUCAAGAACGAAAGUUAGGGGAUCGAAGACGAUCAGAUACCGUCGUAGUCUUAACCAUAAACUAUGCCGACUAGGGAUCGGAUGAUGUUAAUUUUUUAAUGACUCAUUCGGCGCCUUACG